rnacentral:rRNA from 1 species
AUUGAACGCUGGCGGAAUGCUUUACACAUGCAAGUCGAACGGCAGCACGGGGGCAACCCUGGUGGCGAGUGGCGAACGGGUGAGUAAAGUAUCGGAACGUGCCCAGUCGUGGGGGAUAACGUAGCGAAAGUUACGCUAAUACCGCAUACGAUCUAUGGAUGAAAGCGGGGGAUCGCAAGACCUCGCGCGAUUGGAGCGGCUGAUAUCAGAUUAGGUAGUUGGUGGGGUAAAGGCUCACCAAGCCGACGAUCUGUAGCUGGUCUGAGAGGACGACCAGCCACGCUGGGACUGAGACACGGCCCAGACUCCUACGGGAGGCAGCAGUGGGGAAUUUUGGACAAUGGGCGCAAGCCUGAUCCAGCCAUGCCGCGUGCAGGAUGAAGGCCUUCGGGUUGUAAACUGCUUUUGUACGGAACGAAAAGGUUUGGCCUAAUACGCUGAACUCAUGACGGUACCGUAAGAAUAAGCACCGGCUAACUACGUGCCAGCCGCCGCAGUAA